CGAACGCUGGCGCGUGCCUAAUACAUGCAAGUAGAACGCUGAGGAGGAGCUUGCUCUCUGGAUGAGUUGCAACGGGUGAGUAACGCGUAGGUAACCUGCCUGGUAGCGGGGGAGUAACUAUUGGUAAACGAUAGCUAAUACCGCAUAAGAGUAGAUGUUGCAUGACAUUUGCUUAAAAGGUGCAAUUGCAUCACUACCAGAUGGACCUGCGUUGUAUUAGCUAGUUGGUGGGGUAACGGCUCACCAAGGCGACGAUACAUAGCCGACCUGAGAGGGUGAUCGGCCACACUGGGACUGAGACACGGCCCAGACUCCUACGGGAGGCAGCAGUAGGGAAUCUUCGGCAAUGGACGGAAGUCUGACCGAGCAACGCCGCAUGAGUGAAGAAGGUUUUCGGAUCGUAAAGCUCUGUUGUAAGAGAAGAACGAGUGUGAGAGUGGAAAGUUCACACUGUGACGGUAUCUUACCAGAAAGGGACGGCUAACUACGUG
rnacentral:rRNA from 1 species